AGCGAACGCUGGCGGCGUGCCUAACACAUGCAAGUCGAACGUGAAAGGGAGCAAUCCCAAGUAAAGUGGCGUACGGGUGAGUAACACGUAGGUAAUCUACCCCAGAAUCUGGAAUAACCGGCCGAAAGGCUGGCUAAUACUGGAUAGAGCGACGGAAUCCGUAAUUGGGUUUUUCGGGAAAGGGAGCCUGUAAAAAGGCCUUCGUUCUGGGAUGAGCCUGCGUCCCAUCAGCUAGUUGGUGAGGUAAAAGCUUACCAAGGCAAUGACGGGUAGCUGGUCUGAGAGGACGAUCAGCCACACUGGAACUGAAACACGGUCCAGACUCCUACGGGAGGCAGCAGUGGGGAAUCUUGCGCAAUGGGCGAAAGUCUGACGCAGCAACGCCGCGUGAGUGAAGAAGGCCUUCGGGUUGUAAAGCUCUGUCGAGUGGGACGAAAAUGCUUGGAGUUCACAGCUCCAGGAACUGACGGUACCACUAAAGGAAGCACCGGCUAACUCCGUG
rnacentral:rRNA from 1 species